rnacentral:rRNA from 1 species
UGGGGAAUUUUCCGCAAUGGGCGCAAGCCUGACGGAGUGACGCCGCGUGGGGGACGAAGGCCUUCGGGUCGUAAACCCCUGUCAGAGGGAAAGAAGGGUUCGGUGGUGAAUAGCCAUCGGGCUUGACGGUACCUUCAGAGGAAGCCCCGGCCAACUCUGUGCCAGCAGCCGCGGUAAGACAGAGGGGGCAAGCGUUGCUCGGAAUCACUGGGCGUAAAGGGCGCGUAGGCGGAGCAUCAAGUCGGUCGUGAAAUCUCCGGGCUCAACCUGGAGGGGUCGGCCGAGACUGGUGGUCUUGAGGGAGGCAGAGGAGUCUGGAAUUCCCGGUGUAGCGGUGAAAUGUGUAGAGAUCGGGAGGAACACCGGUGGCGAAGGCGGGGCUCUGGGCCUUUACCUGACGCUGAGGCGCGAAAGCGUGGGGAGCAAACGGGAUUAGAUACCCCCGUAGUCC